rnacentral:rRNA from 1 species
UGCCCAAGAGACUGGGAUAACACCUGGAAACAGAUGCUAAUACCGGAUAACAACACUAGACGCAUGUCUAGAGUUUAAAAGAUGGUUCUGCUAUCACUCUUGGAUGGACCUGCGGUGCAUUAGCUAGUUGGUAAGGUAACGGCUUACCAAGGCAAUGAUGCAUAGCCGAGUUGAGAGACUGAUCGGCCACAUUGGGACUGAGACACGGCCCAAACUCCUACGGAAGGCAGCAG